rnacentral:rRNA from 1 species
UACGGAGGGUGCAAGCGUUAUCCGGAUUUACUGGGUUUAAAGGGUGUGUAGGCGGACUUUUAAGUCAGCGGUGAAAUCUCCGGGCUCAACCCGGAACUGCCAUUGAUACUAUUGGUCUUGAAUGUUGUUGAGGUGGGCGGAAUGGGUCAUGUAGCGGUGAAAUGCAUAGAUAUGACAUAGAACACCAAUUGCGAAGGCAGCUGGCUACACAAAUAUUGACGCUGAUGCACGAAAGCGUGGGGAUCAAACAGGA